ACAGAGAGAAGCGAUACCGCGAGGAGGAGCAAAUCUGAAAAAAGCGUCCCUAGUUCGGAUUGUAGGCUGAAACUCGCCUACAUGAAGUCGGAAUUGCUAGUAAUCGCGGAUCAGCAUGCCGCGGUGAAUACGUUCCCGGGCCUUGUACACACCGCCCGUCACACCAUGGGAGCCGGUAAUACCCGAAGUCAGUAGUCCAACCUCGUGAGGACGCUGCCGAAGGUAGGAUUGGCGACUGGGGUGAAGUCGUAACAAGGUACC
rnacentral:rRNA from 1 species